UUGAGCUUGAUCCCUGGCUCAGAUUGAACGCUGGCGGCAGGCCUAACACAUGCAAGUCGAGCGGUAGAGAGAAGCUUGCUUCUCUUGAGAGCGGCGGACGGGUGAGUAAUGCCUAGGAAUCUGCCUGGUAGUGGGGGAUAACGUUCGGAAACGGACGCUAAUACCGCAUACGUCCUACGGGAGAAAGCAGGGGACCUUCGGGCCUUGCGCUAUCAGAUGAGCCUAGGUCGGAUUAGCUAGUUGGUGAGGUAAUGGCUCACCAAGGCGACGAUCCGUAACUGGUCUGAGAGGAUGAUCAGUCACACUGGAACUGAGACACGGUCCAGACUCCUACGGGAGGCAGCAGUGGGGAAUAUUGGACAAUGGGCGAAAGCCUGAUCCAGCCAUGCCGCGUGUGUGAAGAAGGUCUUCGGAUUGUAAAGCACUUUAAGUUGGGAGGAAGGGCAGUAACUUAAUACGUUGCUGUUUUGACGUUACCGACAGAAUAAGCACCGGCUA
rnacentral:rRNA from 1 species